rnacentral:rRNA from 1 species
AUUGAACGCUGGCGGCAGGCCUAACACAUGCAAGUCGAGCGGAUGAAGGGAGCUUGCUCCUGGAUUCAGCGGCGGACGGGUGAGUAAUGCCUAGGAAUCUGCCUGGUAGUGGGGGAUAACGUCCGGAGACGGGCGCUAAUACCGCAUACGUCCUGAGGGAGAAAGUGGGGGUCUUCGGACCUCACGCUAUUAGAUUAACCCAGGUCGGAUUAGCUAGUUGGUGGGGUAAAGGCCUACCAAGGCGACGAUCCGUAACUGGUCUGAGAGGAUGAUCAGUCACACUGGAACUGAGACACGGUCCAGACUCCUACGGGAGGCAGCAGUGGGGAAUAUUGGACAAUGGGCGAAAGCCUGAUCCAGCCAUGCCGCGUGUGUGAAGAAGGUCUUCGGAUUGUAAAGCACUUUAAGUUGGGAGGAAGGGCAGUAAGUUAAUACCUUGCUGUUUUGACGUUACCAACAGAAUAAGCACCGGCUAACUUCGUG